GCGUUUCAAGUGUACCCGACACAUGCUAUGGUGUCAGGGGCGCCGCGGGCGGGCGUAUUUCGGCGGGUUUGUGAGAGGCAUCUGGGUAAACGCCUCGCUGUGCCGGGGUCCUCUCACGGCCGCCUUCCCGCCCCGAGGGAGCCGAGCCGGGCCGAAUUAUUCCGAAGAGCCGAGUGUGGGCGAAGACAGCCGAGUUGAGCCGAAGAGCCGAGUGUGGCCGAAAAGAGCCGAGAUGAGCCGAAGAGACGAGUUUAGCCGACAACAGCCGACUUGAGACGAAGAGCCGAGUGUAGCCGACAACAGCCGACUUGAGACGAAGAGCCGAGUGUAGCCGAACACAGCCGACUUGAGACGAAGAGCCGAGUGUAGCCGAGUGUAACCGGGAGCCGAGUGUAGCCGACAUUGGCCGCGUUUAGACAAAGAGCCGAAUAUGACCGAGUUCAGCCCAACCGGGCCGAGUUCAGCCGAAGAGCCGGAAAAGCCGAAUUUAGACGAAAAGCCGAACCGAAACGAUUUUAGACCUAAGCCGAACCAAGCCUAAUUUAGCCGAGUUUAUUUAAACGGAACCGAACGACGCCGCAGCGCUCUGCCUGCAGAGCGCCGGUGCAGACGGCAGGGGGCGGUGUAUAAAGGUGCUCAGGAAGCAUGCGUCCCUUAGAGUCCCACGGAAAGGUUCUCAGUGCGCUCUCUAUCAAGAAUACGUUUAAUAAGUGUUGGAAGUUAGUAUUUUGGGAAAGAAAUGGCAGUUCCACAGAACAUUCCAUUGAACAGAGGCUCUGGGAACGAUUCAUGUUUGCUAUGAGUCUUGAUAAAUGGGAGAAGAGCCCAAGAGAAAUUUUUCAUCCCUUGAUAUAAAAGGGAUCGGUGAAUUUUAACUUUGGAGUCCUCUAUGCUAAGGAUGCUCAGCUUACAGUAUUUGCUGCAGCUCUGCUUACCCAAGCUUUGGGUUCCUUCUGUCCCACUGGGAGUUGCCCAAUUUGGUUGCAUCUGGUGAAAUUCACCCUGAGACCUUACAGAACCAGCUCCAACUACGUGAGAGCCAUUUGCAGUUCUCUCCAGACGCCUGGAGAACGGGCGACGUUUCUGAGGAUCCGGCGAGCGUGCUUCUAUCAAAACUCAGUCUGUGAAAUUCCUGGGGAAAACCCUUCUGUGUCCUGAAGGGUUCAAACUCUGGUGAGGAUCCAGUUAUCAGGUGCUCGCCUGGAUGGUUCCAGCUCCCAAAGGGAAAGACUCUCGUAUCCUUGUCGUCGGGCUCGGUGCUGCCCAAGAAGAUACAGAGACUAAAAAAAUCAUAAGAAGCAAAAUAUGACUGCAGGGAAAAGAAGCUGGAGAGAACAGAAGACUCAUCACGGCGGGACAGCGUGAGGACUGAAAGUGUAAGAAGAUGUGGAGGGAAACAGAGAAUCUGACAGGAGCAGCGAACGCACGAGUGCACGAAUUUUGCUUCUUGCUUGGAUGUAAACUCAGGAGUUGAGAGGAAUUUGGGAGUGAGAAGGGACAUUUUAGAAGGAGAAGAAGAAAAAGAAGUUGUUGCUACAGUCCUGGCAAAAGAUUUUGUUCUAGCUAAUAAAAGAAGUUAGCUUAAAAAACAAAAAGGAAAAAAUGUAGUGGUUUUUUUUUUUUUUCCUUCACUCUUAUAUUCAUUGGUGGUAUAUGGUGUGUUGUUUUAUUUCUUGGUAUUAUUAAGUCUGUGUAAAUUGUUUUUUGAGUGAAGCUGACUUUCUGGAUGGGUUGGUUUGUAUUUGAGGCAGGAUUAAUUUCAAUAGGGUUCUUUCAUAGAUUUCUGAUGGGUAAUACUGGGAUUUUGGUUUUGUUUACUGUAUGUAUAAACAUAGAGCUUUGGUAGGGCCAGCUGGGCUGCUGGAGAUUUGGGUGUGAAUUUAUUAGAUGGCUUUUGUUAAAUGCAGUUUUUAAUUUUUGAAAUGUUUUUCAAUGUAGUGGUUUUAAGGUGGUUUUUAAGAAUUCAUUGUAUUGUUUUAUCUUGUUUGUAGUUGGUGUAUGAUAAGGGAUGUGGUGUGACUUUUUGAACAUUAUGGUUUUGGUGUUCCUAAGUUCUGAUUUCUUUGUGGUUCAAUAGUUUUUUUUAUUUUUAUUUUUUGGGACAGGGGCAUUUAUAUGGUGGGAUUUUAUAGGCAAUAUGUUUUUUAAUUUAGGUAGUGAUAUUUUUUAGUAUUUUAAUGGUUUAGGUUUUUUAUUUUCAUGGUUUUUAUUUUUUGUUUUAAUUUUUUCAAAUAACUUUGAUAGAUUAUAGGUUAUUAUUUGUGCAUUAGCCUAAAGGUAGAGCUUUGGGGACUUUUUUUAGUAAUGUUUAGGAUCAGUUGUACAGUUUUGAGUCUAGUGAGUUGCUUUGCUUGAAUUUUUAUUGUGUGUUUGUUUUUAUUAGCAGUUGUGUCAUUUUCAAGGUGUGUUUGAGUUUUUUGGGGUUUUUGAGAUACUGGUUUAGGAGGAAGUUUAUGAUGAGCAUGUGCGGAGGUUUCGGGCUGCUUUAUAGUGGGAUUUAAAAUUUAUUUACAGUUAGGUUUAUUUGAGUUUUUAUUAGGGUUCAGUGUUGUGGGAUGUUUGUUCCGUUAGUAAUAGAAACAGGUUUUGUUUUGCUGUGCUGCGAUGGGAUGGGCGUGUGCUGCGUGCCGGCGCUGACAAAGGUACAGUAUUGUUGUGGCUCUGGUGUGUCGGGUUAAUGAACUGACAUGGUUUAAUAUAGAGAUGAAAACAGAAAUAAAUAUACAUUUAAAAAUAAAUCUAACAUUAGAGUGGUAAACAUAAAUAUAGAUAACAGAUACAUACAUAGAACUAUAAUAUAUGGUAUAUAAUUGUAACAUAUCAUACAGAUAAAUGAUAGUCUAUUUUAUAUAUAUAUAUAUAUACAAAAAGAUAUAUAAAUAUAGAUUGUAAAUAUAAAAAUAUUUAAAUAGAGUUAAAGUAAAUUGGGGGGUGUUAUUAGGUUAUAGUCUGGGGUUUUUAAAUGAUAG